UACGUAGGGUGCAAGCGUUAAUCGGAAUUACUGGGCGUAAAGCGUGCGCAGGCGGUGAUGUAAGACAGGUGUGAAAUCCCCGGGCUAACCUGGGAACUGCAUUUGUGACUGCAUCGCUGGAGUGCGGCAGAGGGGGGAUGGAAUUCCGCGUGUAGCAGUGAAAUGCGUAGAUAUGCGGAGGAACACCGAUGGCGAAGGCAAUCCCCUGGGCCUGCACUGACGUCAUGCACGAAAGCGUGGGGAGCAAACAGG
rnacentral:rRNA from 1 species